UCUGCUCUGUUACGCUCUGUCUGGGGCUGUCGCACAUUCUGUUCAGAACUGCUUAUGAGCUAAAUCUAAGAGCAGACUCUUAUCCUCUAGGAUAAAACUUUCAUUUCCAUAAAUGUUCAGGGUUUGAAAACAGCUCAAGUCAGGCUGGAAACAUAUUAAACUCUCAGCUACAGCAAGAUGAGAUCAUUAAGCACCUGGCAAGGUGACUGUCCCUGACACUCUCUGCAUCUCUCCAAGCGCUGCUAGCAACAGAGACGACUUUCCACAACCAACCUGUCCCACGAUCAUCGUCAGCUUACCUAAAAGAGCCUUGACAGUUGAGCGCACCACACUGGAGAGCAGGAAGAGGGGGGUGACCCAGGAUGUGGAAGAGGGACAGAGAGGCAAAGGCCACAGCUGGGGACAGAUCAGCGUCCUCUGAGAUGUGCACGUG